GCACUUUUAUUUUGUUAACCAAUUAAUGGUCAGAAGAUGUGCAAAUUAGCUAAAAGGUACAUUGUAAAUAGGUAUCUAGAAAGACUGUUGAAGGUGAAAGAUUGAAGGUCUUAAUGAUGCAAGGCGUAGUGAUACAGUUAGGUUGGUGAUGUGAGCAGAAUACCUGUAGCAUCGGGCAGGUUAUCGGGAUUCAUUCCUUCUUGAGCUUGCAUCAGCGUAGCAUCACAUUUUGUGGGUGAAAGUUCGUUGCCGGUGAUUCCCAACACUUUAGAUCUUCCGAAGUGUGCAGUACAAGUAAUUUCUACACUGGAACUGAAUCCAGCCAGUGUGGAGUGUUGGUUUACGAUCACGGACGAGUGGGUGUUGAUCCUGGGGUUUUUUUUCUUUUAUUUUUGUCUUGUGAUGGACAAAUAAAGACAAGUGAACAUGAAUCUGUUGUGCCCCUUGUACUUCUUGGAAGUGACCUAUUGCGACCUACGAC